UGCAGACAUGGCUUGGAUCCCGUGUUGCUGUGGCUGUGGUGUAGGCCAGCAGCUAUAGCUCCGAUUCGACCGCUGGCCUGGGAACGUCCAUGUGACAUGGCUGCGGCUCUAAAAAGACAAAUGUAAUGCCAAAGCUCCUCUGAGAAAAAUAUGCCGAGCGGAACGCUGAGCAGGGACAAGUUGGCACCGAAAGUGGAGUAGCCGUGGGGAAAGGUCGCGCAGAAUCAGGCCACGUUCUGGAGGGAGGCGCGAGCAGUCACUGCAGUGGUGCAGUGAAAGCCAGCAGGGCGGUGCCGCGCUGCCCAGCUGACCUAACGCACGUGUAUGACAAAGGAAAAGAGUCUUUUCCGCCACACAAAUCAUUUUGUGAACCUGCAAACAUCCAGGAAUCUUGUCUUCUCCAUCAUCGCUUUGUACACAGAGGCGUGACGGCAGGAGGGGCUUCCGGAUAGAAGCCGCUCCUGGCUGCAGCCUGGGCCGAGGCCCCUUCCUGCCGUCCCCUUCCUCUCCGCAGGCCUGUAGGCGCUCGUCCGGGAGCAGGAAAUGAUGGCAUGCUCAUGCCUCUCUGCAGUUAGCCUUCUAAAGAGGAGAACAGAACAAAACAGGACAGCUGGAUGUUUAGGGCUAUUCUAAAAACUUCGAAAGACUAGCUAUUGAUGCAGGCAAGGGAUGCAGAGUAGAGGCUGGGGUCACUCGGAUUCUCUAGAUUGAGGAUUUGUGGGAGUUCAUCUUGGGCUAGUUUAUGUUUAUUCUGCACUUCAAAUGACUUUGAAGGUUUAUUUGGAAAUUCCAGCCCUGGAGAGGCGUCGCUUGCAAACCCCAGACUGAACCCUGUCUCCUGGAAAGAGAAGUGUUGAGGCAGAGCCUGGAAGCGCAGGCAGAGGGGACCGGCCACCUGCAGACCACUCGCCCUUGAGGUCGUUGGUGUGCUGGGUGGCGGCCGACCCCUGCCACCCCUGCCCGUGCUGCCUACAAAGGAAAUGGCGUGUUUGACCAGUGGAAGGCAUCCUUGUGGGUCGGAGGGCACUAGAGCCGGUCACACAGGCGGCCUCCCAACCCCAGGCCGAAGCCGGCAAGUGCUACCAACCUGGGCUCUUUUCCCUUCCCAGAAAAUCUCUGCUUAACAUUGACCAGCCCGCUGCUGUGUAUAAACCGAUCCAAGAGGAACCAGUUAACCUGCUACGUGAACAAGAUUUCAGCAUCAGACUGUGGGCAGAUUCCCUUCCAGCUUCGAUGCCGCCUGUCGGAAGAUACACCAUCAUUUACGUGUCACUACAAAAGAAACGACAUGCUUCCAGGAAGCCAGCUGUCAUGUCACAAGGACGCAUGGUGACACGAGGCAGGGAACAGAGGCCGUCGCUAACAGCCAUUGAGGGGAGUGGGUCCCGGAGCCUUGAAUGGCUGCGUCAGAGCUGCCCGGUGAGCUGCCCCCCAGAUCCCGACCCUCAGAAAUGGAGACCACACGCACCUGCCGUCUGAUGCUGCUGAGUCUGGGCGUGAAUUGAUGCGUAGCAAUAGGUAGUUAAUACAAGCCGGGAGCGGCGUUUAGGCCCCACCACCCGGACUCUCUCAAGGAGCCCUUCCUGACUCCCGCAGGGGGAGUUGUCCGGGCCCCUGGUUCUAGGGGUGGAGGCACCCUCACUUCUUUUGCUCUCAGUGUUACACCUGUGAUACCCCUGGUUGUUUAGAUGAAGGGAUGGGAGACACAGAAUCUACAGGAUGACACAGAUGGCUCUGUUUGUCCUUGUCCCAACUGGGUAGAGUGCGGAAAGCGUUUUUGUGCAUGUAGGCUUUAGAAAUGGGUAUGUGGGAGUUCUCGUCGUGGCACAGUGGUUAACGAAUCCAACUAGGAACCAUGAGGUUGCGGGUUCGAUCCCUGGCCUU